GUCUUAACUGGGCGUUAAGUUGCAGGGUAUAGACCCGAAACCCGGUGAUCUAGCCAUGGGCAGGUUGAAGGUUGGGUAACACUAACUGGAGGACCGAACCGACUAAUGUUGAAAAAUUAGCGGAUGACUUGUGGCUGGGGGUGAAAGGCCAAUCAAACCGGGAGAUAGCUGGUUCUCCCCGAAAGCUAUUUAGGUAGCGCCUCGUGAAUUCAUCUCCGGGGGUAGAGCACUGUUUCGGCAAGGGGGUCAUCCCGACUUACCAACCCGAUGCAAACUGCGAAUACCGGAGAAUGUUAUCACGGGAGACACACGGCGGGUGCUAACGUCCGUCGUGAAGAGGGAAACAACCCAGACCGCCAGCUAAGGUCCCAAAGUCAUGGUUAAGUGGGAAACGAUGUGGGAAGGCCCAGACAGCCAGGAUGUUGGCUUAGAAGCAGCCAUCAUUUAAAGAAAGCGUAAUAGCUCACUGGUCGAGUCGGCCUGCGCGGAAGAUGUAACGGGGCUAAACCAUGCACCGAAGCUGCGGCAGCGACGCUUAUGCGUUGUUGGGUAGGGGAGCGUUCUGUAAGCCUGUGAAGGUGUGCUGUGAGGCAUGCUGGAGGUAUCAGAAGUGCGAAUGCUGACAUAAGUAACGAUAAAGCGGGUGAAAAGCCCGCUCGCCGGAAGACCAAGGGUUCCUGUCCAACGUUAAUCGGGGCAGGGUGAGUCGACCCCUAAGGCGAGGCCGAAAGGCGUAGUCGAUGGGAAACAGGUUAAUAUUCCUGUACUUGGUGUUACUGCGAAGGGGGGACGGAGAAGGCUAUGUUGGCCGGGCGACGGUUGUCCCGGUUUAAGCGUGUAGGCUGGUUUUCCAGGCAAAUCCGGAAAAUCAAGGCUGAGGCGUGAUGACGAGGCACUACGGUGCUGAAGCAACAAAUGCCCUGCUUCCAGGAAAAGCCUCUAAGCAUCAGGUAACAUCAAAUCGUACCCCAAACCGACACAGGUGGUCAGGUAGAGAAUACCAAGGCGCUUGAGAGAACUCGGGUGAAGGAACUAGGCAAAAUGGUGCCGUAACUUCGGGAGAAGGCACGCUGAUAUGUAGGUGAAGUCCCUCGCGGAUGGAGCUGAAAUCAGUCGAAGAUACCAGCUGGCUGCAACUGUUUAUUAAAAACACAGCACUGUGCAAACACGAAAGUGGACGUAUACGGUGUGACGCCUGCCCGGUGCCGGAAGGUUAAUUGAUGGGGUCAGCGCAAGCGAAGCUCUUGAUCGAAGCCCCGGUAAACGGCGGCCGUAACUAUAACGGUCCUAAGGUAGCGAAAUUCCUUGUCGGGUAAGUUCCGACCUGCACGAAUGGCGUAAUGAUGGCCAGGCUGUCUCCACCCGAGACUCAGUGAAAUUGAACUCGCUGUGAAGAUGCAGUGUACCCGCGGCAAGACGGAAAGACCCCGUGAACCUUUACUAUAGCUUGACACUGAACAUUGAGCCUUGAUGUGUAGGAUAGGUGGGAGGCUUAGAAGUGUGGACGCCAGUCUGCAUGGAGCCGACCUUGAAAUACCACCCUUUAAUGUUUGAUGUUCUAACGUUGACCCGUAAUCCGGGUUGCGGACAGUGUCUGGUGGGUAGUUUGACUGGGGCGGUCUCCUCCUAAAGAGUAACGGAGGAGCACGAAGGUUGGCUAAUCCUGGUCGGACAUCAGGAGGUUAGUGCAAUGGCAUAAGCCAGCUUGACUGCGAGCGUGACGGCGCGAGCAGGUGCGAAAGCAGGUCAUAGUGAUCCGGUGGUUCUGAAUGGAAGGGCCAUCGCUCAACGGAUAAAAGGUACUCCGGGGAUAACAGGCUGAUACCGCCCAAGAGUUCAUAUCGACGGCGGUGUUUGGCACCUCGAUGUCGGCUCAUCACAUCCUGGGGCUGAAGUAGGUCCCAAGGGUAUGGCUGUUCGCCAUUUAAAGUGGUACGCGAGCUGGGUUUAGAACGUCGUGAGACAGUUCGGUCCCUAUCUGCCGUGGGCGCUGGAGAACUGAGGGGGGCUGCUCCUAGUACGAGAGGACCGGAGUGGACGCAUCACUGGUGUUCGGGUUGUCAUGCCAAUGGCACUGCCCGGUAGCUAAAUGCGGAAGAGAUAAGUGCUGAAAGCAUCUAAGCACGAAACUUGCC
rnacentral:rRNA from 1 species